GUAGGUAACCUGCCUUGUAGCGGGGGAUCACUAUCGCACCGAUAGCUACUACCGCAUACAAUGGAUGACACAUGUCUUUGUUUCAAAGGGGCAAUUGCUCCACUACCAGAUGGCCUGCGUUGUAUUAGCUAGUAGGUGAGGUAACGGCUCACCUAGGCGACGAUACAUAGCCGACCUGAGAGGGUGAUCGCCCACACUGGGACUGAGACACGGCCCAGACUCCUACGGGAGGCAGCAGUAGGGGAAUCUUCGGCAAUGGGGGCAACCCUGACCGAGCAACGCCGCGUGAGUGAAGAAGGUUUUCGGAUCGUAAAGCUCUGUUGUAAGUCAAGAACGAGUGUGAGAGUGGAAAGUUCACACUGUGACGGUAGCUUACCAGAAAGGGACGGCUAACUACGUGCCAGCAGCCGCGGUAAUACGUAGGUCCCGAGCGUUGUCCGGAUUUAUUGGGCGUAAAGCGAGCGCAGGCGGUUUGAUAAGUCUGAAGUUAAAGGCUGUGGCUCAACCAUAGUUCGCUUUGGAAACUGUCAAACUUGAGUGCAGAAGGGGAGAGUGGAAUUCCAUGUGUAGCGGUGAAAUGCGUAGAUAUAUGGAGGAACACCGGUGGCGAAAGCGGCUCUCUGGUCUGUAACUGACGCUGAGGCUCGAAAGCGUGGGGAGCGAACAGG
rnacentral:rRNA from 1 species